AAGAAUCUAGUUUAAAAAACAUUUAUUUGUCAAAUAAAAAUUACAUUAAAAUGUGUUUCUUG
rnacentral:tRNA from 1 species